rnacentral:rRNA from 1 species
ACGGAGGGUGCAAGCGUUAUUCGGAUUCACUGGGUGUAAAGCGUACGUAGGCGGUCUGUUAAGUCAGAUGUGAAAUCUUCCGGCUCAACCGGGGAAUUGCCUUUGAUACUGGCAAGCUUGAGUCUCGUAGAGGGAGGUAGAAUUCCAGGUGUAGCGGUGAAAUGCGUAGAGAUCUGGAGGAAUACCGGUGGCGAAGGCGGCCCCCUGGACGAAGACUGACGCUCAGGUGCGAAAGCGUGGGGAGCAAACAG